UCAUCUGUUUCUUGAAUAUUUAUUGAAUUUGACCUUUAAGUGAAAAGGCUUAAAUAAAUCAAAAAGACGAUAAGACCCUAUAAAUCUUUACAAGAAAUAUAUUUUAUGUUUUAGUUUAUAAGUGUAUAAGAAAUAAAAAUAUAAGUUUGUUGCGCUGGGGCGGCGUAGAUAUAUAAAUAAACUGUCUAUGGUUUAAAUACAGUAAUUAUUGCUUAAUACAAAUUGAUCCUUAAAUAGAUUAAAAGAUUAAGAUACUUAGGGAUAACAGCGUUA
rnacentral:rRNA from 1 species